GCCUCGUGAAUUCAUCUCCGGGGGUAGAGCACUGUUUCGGCUAGGGGGCCAUCCCGGCUUACCAACCCGAUGCAAACUGCGAAUACCGGAGAAUGUUAUCACGGGAGACACACGGCGGGUGCUAACGUCCGUCGUGAAGAGGGAAACAACCCAGACCGCCAGCUAAGGUCCCAAAGUCAUGGUUAAGUGGGAAACGAUGUGGGAAGGCCCAGACAGCCAGGAUGUUGGCUUAGAAGCAGCCAUCAUUUAAAGAAAGCGUAAUAGCUCACUGGUCGAGUCGGCCUGCGCGGAAGAUGUAACGGGGCUAAACCAUGCACCGAAGCUGCGGCAGCGACACUGUGUGUUGUUGGGUAGGGGAGCGUUCUGUAAGCCUGUGAAGGUGUGUCGUGAGGCAUGCUGGAGGUAUCAGAAGUGCGAAUGCUGACAUAAGUAACGAUAAAGCGGGUGAAAAGCCCGCUCGCCGGAAGACCAAGGGUUCCUGUCCAACGUUAAUCGGGGCAGGGUGAGUCGACCCCUAAGGCGAGGCCGAAAGGCGUAGUCGAUGGGAAACGGGUUAAUAUUCCCGUACUUGGUGUUACUGCGAAGGGGGGACGGAGAAGGCUAUGUUGGCCGGGCGACGGUUGUCCCGGUUUAAGCGUGUAGGUGUGUGUUCCAGGUAAAUCCGGUUCACUUUAACACUGAGGCGUGACGACGAGGCACUACGGUGCUGAAGCAACAAAUGCCCUGCUUCCAGGAAAAGCCUCUAAGCAUCAGGUAACAUCAAAUCGUACCCCAAACCGACACAGGUGGUCAGGUAGAGAAUACCAAGGCGCUUGAGAGAACUCGGGUGAAGGAACUAGGCAAAAUGGUGCCGUAACUUCGGGAGAAGGCACGCUGACACGUAGGUGAAGUGAUUUACUCAUGGAGCUGAAGUCAGUCGAAGAUACCAGCUGGCUGCAACUGUUUAUUAAAAACACAGCACUGUGCAAACACGAAAGUGGACGUAUACGGUGUGACGCCUGCCCGGUGCCGGAAGGUUAAUUGAUGGGGUCAGCGCAAGCGAAGCUCCUGAUCGAAGCCCCGGUAAACGGCGGCCGUAACUAUAACGGUCCUAAGGUAGCGAAAUUCCUUGUCGGGUAAGUUCCGACCUGCACGAAUGGCGUAAUGAUGGCCAGGCUGUCUCCACCCGAGACUCAGUGAAAUUGAACUCGCUGUGAAGAUGCAGUGUACCCGCGGCAAGACGGAAAGACCCCGUGAACCUUUACUAUAGCUUGACACUGAACAUUGAGCCUUGAUGUGUAGGAUAGGUGGGAGGCUUUGAAGUGUGGACGCCAGUCUGCAUGGAGCCGACCUUGAAAUACCACCCUUUAAUGUUUGAUGUUCUAACGUGGACCCGUUACCCGGGUUGCGGACAGUGUCUGGUGGGUAGUUUGACUGGGGCGGUCUCCUCC
rnacentral:rRNA from 2 species